GGGGUUGCGGACAGUGUCUGGUGGGUAGUUUGACUGGGGCGGUCUCCUCCCAAAGAGUAACGGAGGAGCACGAAGGUUAGCUAAUCCUGGUCGGACAUCAGGAGGUUAGUGCAAAGGCAUAAGCUAGCUUGACUGCGAGAGUGACGGCUCGAGCAGGUGCGAAAGCAGGUCUUAGUGAUCCGGUGGUUCUGAAUGGAAGGGCCAUCGCUCAACGGAUAAAAGGUACUCCGGGGAUAACAGGCUGAUACCGCCCAAGAGUUCAUAUCGACGGCGGUGUUUGGCACCUCGAUGUCGGCUCAUCACAUCCUGGGGCUGAAGUAGGUCCCAAGGGUACGGCUGUUCGCCGUUUAAAGUGGUACGCGAGCUGGGUUUAGAACGUCGUGAGACAGUUCGGUCCCUAUCUGCCGUGGGCGUUGGAAGAUUGAGGGGGGUUGCUCCUAGUACGAGAGGACCGGAGUGAACGCACCACUGGUGUUCGGGUUGUGAUGCCAAUUGCAUUGCCCGGUAGCUAAGUGCGGAAGAGAUAACCGCUGAAAGCAUCUAAGCGGGAAACUUGCCCCGAGAUGAGUCUUCCCUGGGACUUCGAGUCCCCUGAAGGGCCGUUGAAGACGACGACGUAGAUAGGCUGGGUGUGUAAGCGUAGCGAUACGUUGAGCUAACCAGUACUAAUGACCCGAGAGGCUUAACCUUACAACACCGAAGGUGUUUUAG
rnacentral:rRNA from 1 species